rnacentral:lncRNA from 1 species
CUGGCAUCCUCACCUUUCUUCUCUCCUUGAUCUUCACACCAUUAACAUGAUCAGGUCAAAGCUGCAUUUUCUUAAGCAUCCAUGUCCUUCAUCACUUAGAAAUGUAGUCUCUCAGACCUUUGUUUUGUCACAAAACUAUUGUGUUCGUGAACUUUGCUGUUAGAUUCCAGAGUCUGGGAGCUGGCAGAUUCCGUGGACUGCAUAGUGCUGUAACAGUUCACGGUCUCAAGGAGAAAAGCAAAUCAAGCAUUUUAAUCCACAUUCUAAAACUAAAUGUGGAAGACCUUCAGAAAUGCCGACCAAAAUGUACCAUUUGGAUAGCAUCCAAGUUACUCAAAACAUAAAAUAGAUGAGAGAGGUGGUGUUUCACCUGAUUUGCUUUUGUCCUCCUGCUCUUCAGACAAAGAAAUGGACUCUGGAAUGGCAAAGAGGAGGAUCGGUGCAUUUUAUGAGCAAGUUUUCCACCUAACUUAGGAAUGGCACCAAUAUCCUCACAAUUUCCAAAUCCAGGUGGUGAUGAUAGAUUAAGAUCUUGAGCAGAAGUAAAAGGAAAUCCCAGAGGAACAGCAAGCACGGA